CCUACGGGUGGCAGCAGUCGAGAAUCAUUCACAAUGGGGGAAACCCUGAUGGUGCGACGCCGCGUGGGGGAAUGAAGGUCUUCGGAUUGUAAACCCCUGUCAUGUGGGAGCAAAUUAAAAAGAUAGUACCACAAGAGGAAUAGACGGCUAACUCUGUGCCAGCAGCCGCGGUAAUACAGAGGUCUCAAGCGUUGUUCGGAAUCACUGGGCGUAAGGCGUGCGUAGGCUGUUUCGUAAGUCGUGUGUGAAAGGCGCGGGCUCAACCCGCGGACGGCACAUGAUACUGCGAGACUAGAGUAAUGGAGGGGGAACCGGAAUUCUCGGUGUAGCAGUGAAAUGCGUAGAUAUCGAGAGGAACACUCGUGGCGAAGGCGGGUUCCUGGACAUUAACUGACGCUGAGGCACGAAGGCCAGGGGAGCGAAAGGGAUUAGAUACCCUAGUAGUC
rnacentral:rRNA from 1 species